UACGUAGGGUGCAAGCGUUGUCCGGAAUUAUUGGGCGUAAAGGGCUCGUAGGCGGUCCAUCACGUCGGGAGUGAAAAGCUGGGGCUUAACCCCAGUCCUGCUUCCGAUACGGGUGGACUAGAGGUAGGCAGGGGAGAACGGAAUUCCUGGUGUAGCGGUGAAAUGCGCAGAUAUCAGGAGGAACACCGGUGGCGAAGGCGGUUCUCUGGGCCUUACCUGACGCUGAGGAGCGAAAAGCGUGGGGGAGCGAACAGG
rnacentral:rRNA from 1 species